rnacentral:rRNA from 1 species
AGAAUCAACGCUGGCGGCGUGCCUAACACAUGCAAGUCGAACGAGAAAGUGGAGCAAUCCAUGAGUAAAGUGGCGCACGGGUGAGUAACACGUGACUAACCUACCCUUGAGUGGGGAAUAACCUAGGGAAACCUGGGCUAAUACCGCAUAACACCUACGGGUCAAAGGAGCAAUUCGCUUAAGGAGGGGGUCGCGGCAGAUUAGCUAGUUGGCGGGGUAAUGGCCCACCAAGGCAGUGAUCUGUAUCCGGCCUGAGAGGGCGCACGGACACACUGGAACUGAAACACGGUCCAGACUCCUACGGGAGGCAGCAGUGGGAAUUUUGCGCAAUGUGGGAAACCCUGACGCAGCAACGCCGCGUGGAGGAUGAAGUCCCUUGGGACGUAAACUCCUUUCGACCGGGAAGAUUAUGACGGUACCGGAAGAAGAAGCCCCGGCUAACUUCGCGCCAGCAGCCGC